GAUGAACGCUGGCGGCGUGCCUAAUACAUGCAAGUCGAGCGAACAGACGAGGAGCUUGCUCCUCUUACGUUAGCGGCGGACGGGUGAGUAACACGUGGAUAACCUCCCUAUAAGACUGGGAUAACUUCGGGAAACCGGAGCUAAUACCGGAUAACAUGUUGAACCGCAUGGUUCAACAGUGAAAGACGGUCUUGCUGUCACUUAUAGAUGGAUCCGCGCCGCAUUAGCUAGUUGGUAAGGUAACGGCUUACCAGGGCAACGAUGCGUAGCCGACCUGAGAGGGUGAUCGGCCACACUGGAACUGAGACACGGUCCAGACUCCUACGGGAGGCAGCAGUAGGGAAUCUUCCGCAAUGGGCGAAAGCCUGACGGAGCAACGCCGCGUGAGUGAAGAAGGUCUUCGGAUCGUAAAACUCUGUUAUUAGGGAAGAACAAAUGUGUAAGUAACUAUGCACGUCUUGACGGUACCUAAUCAGAAAGCCACGGCUAACUACGUG
rnacentral:rRNA from 1 species